rnacentral:rRNA from 1 species
UGAACGCUGGCGGCGUGCCUAAUACAUGCAAGUCGAGCGAACAGACGAGGAGCUUGCUCCUCUGACGUUAGCGGCGGACGGGUGAGUAACACGUGGAUAACCUACCUAUAAGACUGGGAUAACUUCGGGAAACCGGAGCUAAUACCGGAUAAUAUAUUGAACCGCAUGGUUCAAUAGUGAAAGACGGUUUUGCUGUCACUUAUAGAUGGAUCCGCGCCGCAUUAGCUAGUUGGUAAGGUAACGGCUUACCAAGGCGACGAUGCGUAGCCGACCUGAGAGGGUGAUCGGCCACACUGGAACUGAGACACGGUCCAGACUCCUACGGGAGGCAGCAGUAGGCAAUCUUCCGCAAUGGGCGAAAGCUUGACGGAGCAACGCCGCGUGAGUGAUGAAGGUCUUCGGAUCGUAAAACUCUGUUAUUAGGGAAGAACAAAUGUGUAAGUAACUAUGCACGUCUUGACGGUACCUAAUCAGAAAGCCACGGCUAACUACGUG